UGGCUGUCUUUGAACUGACACAGCUGGCCUUAGUGUCAGUUGCUCCGGAACAGAUGGCCACAGUCAUUUACUCUGGAGAUGGCCUUACCAAUGAAUAUGCUGAGCACUGGUACCAGCAGAAGCCAGGCCUGACCCCUAUGAUGAUCAUCUAUGCCUGGGAUCCUGAACAACACCAACCACGAUAGACGACACUCUGGGAUGUACUCACAUUCCCAUCCAUAGAAGCUCAGAGUUCUGGCAGCUCACAAGUUGCCCUCAAGCAAACUGGUGUCGGUUACAAAGAACAGCCACAGGUUCACAUCCUUCUCAGAGAACUUCAGUUUAAUGACUGCUUGAAGCCACAAACCCAGAGCUCUGAAGGGACUCCCCCUCCGGAGAUUCCUGUAGAAAUGCAGAGUCCUUAAUUGCCCCCUUAUAGAAUCACUGUCCCUUUCUGCCCACUGCUGCCUUCCUCUUUGCUUUCAACACAGCUUGAGCACCAUUCUCCAUAUCAGAGUCUGCAUCCGGGGCACCCAAUUAGAGGAGAGCUACUGUCCCCAACAAGGGAAUUCAGAGACCUUGGAGGCCAUACUACACUAAGAAUGUAUGCACAGCUCCUAAAUUCCCAGUGUAAAUGUUCAGAUGCCCAUCUAUGGCCAAUGUUUAUUGAUUCCUAUAAAAUUAAAGCACUGCCUGACUUA